GGAGAGGUGGCUCAGAGGUUAAGAGCACUGACUGCUCUUCCAGAGGUCCUGAGUUCAAUUCCCAGCAACUACA
rfam:Mesocricetus auratus contig014185, whole genome shotgun sequence.